UGCCAAGGAAGAAGCAGCAAAAGGAAGAAUGGCAAUAUUUGAUUUUUUCAAUAGGCGCACCAUUGCAGAUCAUCAUGGUGUUUCUUUAGGUGGUAUUGGUGCAGGAAGCAUUGGAAGAAGC